rnacentral:rRNA from 1 species
AUUGAACGCUGGCGGCAGGCUUAACACAUGCAAGUCGAGCGGGGGAAGGUAGCUUGCUACUGGACCUAGCGGCGGACGGGUGAGUAAUGCUUAGGAAUCUGCCUAUUAGUGGGGGACAACAUCUCGAAAGGGAUGCUAAUACCGCAUACGUCCUACGGGAGAAAGCAGGGGAUCUUCGGACCUUGCGCUAAUAGAUGAGCCUAAGUCGGAUUAGCUAGUUGGUGGGGUAAAGGCCUACCAAGGCGACGAUCUGUAGCGGGUCUGAGAGGAUGAUCCGCCACACUGGGACUGAGACACGGCCCAGACUCCUACGGGGGGCAGCAGUGGGGAAUAUUGGAAAAUGGGGGGAACCCUGAUCCAGCCAUGCCGCGUGUGUGAAGAAGGCCUUAUGGUUGUAAAGCACUUUAAGCGAGGAGGAGGCUACUUUAGUUAAUACCUAGAGAUAGUGGACGUUACUCGCAGAAUAAGCACCGGCUAACUCUGUGCCAGCCGCCGCCGUAAGAC